rnacentral:siRNA from 1 species
GGAGACUGACAAGACGACGAAGAC